CAGUCGCCACGGGAACACGGAGGGUGCAAGCGUUAAUCGGAAUUACUGGGCGUAAAGCGCACGCAGGCGGUCUGACAAGUCAGAUGUGAAAUCCCCGGGCUUAACCUGGGAACUGCAUUUGAAACUGUCAGGCUGGAGUCUUGUAGAGGGGGGUGGAAUUCCAGGUGUAGCGGUGAAAUGCGUAGAGAUCUGGAGGAAUACCGGUGGCGAAGGCGGCCCCCUGGACAAAGACUGACGCUCAGGUGCGAAAGCGUGGGGAGCAAACAGGAUUAGAUACCCCUGUAGUCCCUGUCUCUUAUAA
rnacentral:rRNA from 1 species